rnacentral:rRNA from 1 species
GACAGAGGGGGCAAGCGUUGCUCGGAAUUACUGGGCGUAAAGGGCGCGUAGGCGGGAUGGCAAGUCGGUCGUGAAAUCCUUCGGCUCAACCGAAGAACGUCGAUCGAUACUGCUGUUCUUGAGGGUUGCAGAGGAGACUGGAAUUCCCGGUGUAGCGGUGAAAUGUGUAGAGAUCGGGAGGAACCCCGGUGGCGAAGGCGGUUCUCUGGGCCUUACCUGACGCUGAGGAGCGAAAGCGUGGGGAGCGAACAGG